UGGGGAAUUUUGGACAAUGGGCGAAAGCCUGAUCCAGCAAUGCCGCGUGUAUGAAGAAGGCCUUCGGGUUGUAAAGCACUUUUGUCCGGAAAGAAAUCCUUGGCUCUAAUACAGUCGGGGGAUGACGGUACCGGAAGAAUAAGCACCGGCUAACUACGUGCCAGCAGCCGCGGUAAUACGUAGGGUGCAAGCGUUAAUCGGAAUUACUGGGCGUAAAGCGUGCGCAGGCGGUUUGCUAAGACCGAUGUGAAAUCCCCGGGCUCAACCUGGGAACUGCAUUGGUGACUGGCAGGCUAGAGUAUGGCAGAGGGGGGUAGAAUUCCACGUGUAGCAGUGAAAUGCGUAGAGAUGUGGAGGAAUACCGAUGGCGAAGGCAGCCCCCUGGGCCAAUACUGACGCUCAUGCACGAAAAGCGUGGGGGAGCAAAACAGGAUUAGAUACCCUGGUAGUCCACGCCCUAAAACGAUGUCAACUAGUUGUUGGGGAUUCAUUUCCUUAGUAACGUAGCUAACGCGUGAAGUUGACCGCCUGGGGAGUACGGUCGCAAGAUUAAAACUCAAAGGAAUUGACGGGGUCAUAGCUGUUUCCU
rnacentral:rRNA from 1 species